AUGAUGUACGACCUUAUCACAGUAGUUUGAGUAGUAUGUUUAUGUUACAACAGCUACAUCAAUUCCUCUGAAUUAUCUCUUAAGCUUAAUAGCGUUUAAUGAAGAAAGCAACAUAUACAUGGUAAUAAAGAAGAGUGCAAUAUAAGCCUCCAUCUUCACCAUCACACAAGCCUCCACCUCCACCACCGCUUUUCAUGAGCAGCAGCGGAACUACUAUGAUCGUCCAGUUGACCAAAAAGAAAGAAAGUAGAAACCUGCAACAAAAAUGUAUUGUAUGUAUAUACACCAAAAAAAAUAUAGUUUUGUACAUGUGUACACCAACAAAAACAAUUGUACAUAAUAAUGAUUGUACACAUGUACAAACAUAUACCUUGAGAAUAUGAAUGGAUAUUUCUGGUCGCUAAGAUAGUAGUGUAAACUUCAAAGUGAUAUAAAUGGCAUAGGAG
rnacentral:lncRNA from 1 species